UACGUAGGGUGCGAGCGUUGUCCGGAAUUAUUGGGCGUAAAGAGCUCGUAGGCGGUUUGUCGCGUCUAUCGUGAAAACUAGCAGCUUAACUGUUGGCGUGCGGUGGAUACGGGCAGACUUGAGUUCGGUAGGGGAGACUGGAAUUCCUGGUGUAGCGGUGAAAUGCGCAGAUAUCAGGAGGAACACCGGUGGCGAAGGCGGGUCUCUGGGCCGAUACUGACGCUGAGGUGCGAAAGCGUGGGGAGCAAACAGG
rnacentral:rRNA from 1 species